ensembl:lncRNA
UUUGUGACGAGUGGUUCAGAGUUUCAAAAAGCUCCGUUUCACCCAUCAAUAACUUACGUGCUUAAUGCAGUAUUUGCUAGUGAAUAGCUUAAAACAAAUGACUGAAGUCACGAGUUUGAGUUUGAAUCAAUCGGAGUGGUUCCAGCGGAAAUGACUCACUCAGUUGAAUCGGUUUGUCUGUUCCUCCGCUUUUCGCGCGUUCAGCCAUGUUUAUGCUACAACCUCAGUACAACUGCUGGCUUAAAGCGCUAGUUUUAUUCGAUUAAUUGAAAUAAGCAAAAAAGUAUGGUGUUUACAAAUAACAUCUAUAUUUCCAUUCUGAAGAUAACUGCUUUCCACGUCGAAGACAUCCAACACAAAUCAUUUUCAGAUACAGUGAUAGUUGAUGUAGAAAGAGCAAAUGGGAGAAGCAGAUGAACACAGAACAGACAUUGCUGAGUAAGUUCGGUGAUGGUAUCCUCAGUUCUACCUGUUGAGAUGGUGAUGGCCCUCGAUUUAGUCCACAGACUAAAUGAAAGUCUCAUUCACCGUUGUUGCACGACUCGAUUUCUGUACAGCUAGGUUCCCCGGAGCCUCAUUAGAGACAGAAGUGCUUGGCAUCAUCUGGGAGAGUAAUUAACGGCGUGAGUUUAACACGUGGAGCCGAGCGCCGGGACGUUUCCCACAGCAUCGCUUCCUCAAAUCCCCACGCAGAUGCUUCGCCAGUGACCCCAGACAGACUGUAAAUGUCAGUGUUAAAGUUGCAGCAUGCUCAGCUAAUCAGCUGUUAGACGAUCUCCCACAGACUUUGCAACAAGGUUAUCGUGUUUUAAGGUGCAAUUUAAGGAUGAAGCAGAGAAAACCGGAAAGAACAAAAGGUUCACACCGUUGAUGAGGCUGUGAAAGCAUCACUUUCUAACCUUGGAUGUGAUGAGUUUUCUGUAGGUGGAUGAGAGUCGGCCUUUAGCCUGCACUUAACUCACAGAGGAAGAUGUUCAAGAGCUGCUCUCAUCUGAACAAAUGAUGAUCCUCUCAUGGAUCGCUUGAUGCUCAAUUUAUAGUUACCGCUCAUAAGUACAGACGCUGUGAGCUCGGUGACCUUUGACCCAAUGUGUGUGAUUGUUACCACUGGAAGUGUGUGCUAAAGAAAUAUAAUCUUUCUGAAAUAAAUGCCUGCGGC